UGAGGUAGUAAGUUGUGUUGUU
rnacentral:miRNA from 14 species